AACGAACGCUGGCGGCAUGCCUAACACAUGCAAGUCGAACGAGACCUUCGGGUCUAGUGGCGCACGGGUGCGUAACGCGUGGGAACCUGCCCUUAGGUUCGGAAUAACUCCCCGAAAGGGGUGCUAAUACCGGAUAAUGUCUUCGGACCAAAGAUUUAUCGCCUUUGGAUGGGCCCGCGUUGGAUUAGCUAGUUGGUAGGGUAAAAGCCGACCAAGGCGACGAUCCAUAGCUGGUCUGAGAGGAUGAUCAGCCACACUGGGACUGAGACACGGCCCAGACUCCUACGGGAGGCAGCAGUGGGGAAUAUUGGACAAUGGGCGAAAGCCUGAUCCAGCAAUGCCGCGUGAGUGAUGAAGGCCUUAGGGUUGUAAAGCUCUUUUACCCGGGAUGAUAAUGACAGUACCGGGAGAAUAAGCACCGGCUAACUCCGUG
rnacentral:rRNA from 1 species